AUAUUGGACAAUGGGGGCAACCCUGAUCCAGCCAUGCAGCGUGUGUGAAGAAGGUCUUCGGAUUGUAAAGCACUUUAAGUUGGGAGGAAGGGCUUUAGGCUAAUACCCUGAAGUUGUGACGUUACUAACAGAGUACGCACCGGCUACCUCUGUGCUAGCAGCCGCGGUAAUACAGAGGGUGCAAGCGUUAAUCGGAAUUACUGGGCGUAAAGCGAGCGUAGGUGGUUCAGUAAGAUGGGUUUGCACUCCCCGGGGUUAACCUGGGAACUGCUUUCAUAACUGCUGAGCUAGAGUACGGUAGAGGGUAGUGGAAUUUCCUGUGUAGCGGUGAAAUGCGUAGAUAUAGGAAGGAACACCAGUGGCGAAGGCGACUACCUGGACUGAUACUGACACUGAGGUGCGAAAGCGUGGGGAGCAAAC
rnacentral:rRNA from 1 species